GAUGAACGCUGGCGGCGUGCCUAAUACAUGCAAGUCGAGCGAACAGACGAGGAGCUUGCUCCUCUGACGUUAGCGGCGGACGGGUGAGUAACACGUGGAUAACCUACCUAUAAGACUGGGAUAACUUCGGGAAAUCGGAGCUAAUACCGGAUAACAUGUUGAACCGCAUGGUUCAACAGUGAAAGACGGUCUUGCUGUCACUUAUAGAUGGAUCCGCGCCGCAUUAGCUAGUUGGUAAGGUAACGGCUUACCAAGGCAACGAUGCGUAGCCGACCUGAGAGGGUGAUCGGCCACACUGGAACUGAGACACGGUCCAGACUCCUACGGGAGGCAGCAGUAGGGAAUCUUCCGCAAUGGGCGAAAGCCUGACGGAGCAACGCCGCGUGAGUGAAGAAGGUCUUCGGAUCGUAAAACUCUGUUAUUAGGGAAGAACAAAUGUGUAAGUAACUAUGCACGUCUUGACGGUACCUAAUCAGAAAGCCACGGCUAACUACGUG
rnacentral:rRNA from 1 species